rnacentral:rRNA from 1 species
AGGGCUACACACGUGUACAAUAGCCGAGUACAAAGGGCAGCUACCGGGUGACCGGAUGCUAAUCUCUAAAGCUGGUCUCAGUUCGGAUCGAAGUCUGCAACCCGACUUCGUGAAGCUGGAUUCGCUAGUAAUCGCGCAUCAGCCAUGGCGCGGUGAAUACGUUCCCGGGCCUU